AACCCCAGCCCUAGAAUUCAGCAUGUGUACAAGUUGGUCACUACUCUUAGAUAAUCAACCUGCAUUUUCUAAGCCAUUUUUACAAAUAGUAUGCAUUAAUGGAGGAAAAAAAAAGGCCAGAAUUUUAAAGUGAUAAUGUGCAUUCCAAUCACUGAAUAAAUAAAAAUGAUUUUUAGAAGACUGGUUCCUUUAUGCUAAAUAAGAAACGACAUGAGAAUUGCAGUUUUAUAGUGGAGCCACUUACUGGAGGGUCUCCCUCAUUCUUUGAAUGUCCCUCUUCUCACAAUAGUUUAGUACAUACAAGCUUUGAAUAAGGACUUGUUGGAUGCAAAGAUUUGUCCUGCUGAUUAGGUUCUAUACCUCAGGAAACAUCCCUACUUACAUUGUCUGGCAACAAUGUAAAGAAAUUCAGGAAAACACGAUAGCUAAAAUUAGUAGUGCUUUUAUGCCAUAAGCCCCUUGUAAAGAGCACAUUGUUAAGAGAAAAUUAAAAAAGACACUAUCCCUUGAUUGUGAAAAUAUUAUCUGUGGCAUAGAAAUACGAGGUUUCAGCUAAAAUGAAAUAAUAUUGGCAGAUAGUGCCAAGGAACAAAAGCUACUGAAAAUAUUUAUUUUUGUGAUCAUUUUUAUAAUACAUUAAUCAGGCCUAAUCAAUCCCCAGUGUACAACAUACAUGACCCACAUGUUUUCUCUGAUAAAUGAUCAAUUUUUGUAUUCCAAAUGGAAAAUGUAGAUCUAACUUUGGAAAUGGAUGUCUGUGUUAUAUAAAUUGAAUACACUAAGGAGAAAAGGAAGCAUAUUAAUGAAAUGAUUUUUUUAAAUGAUGUAAGUCGUAUGGGAAGGAAACUUUAACUCCCACUCUCUUCCUUUCAAUUGUCCCAUUUCCUCAUGUUUUAUCCAUUACUCAUGUCAUGUUUUGUCAUUAACCUAAAUAAAAUCAUGGGAUUUCAAUCCUGCAUACUAUAUACUGCAAAGAAGGGAUGACUGUAACUAUUUAAAUGGCAAUAAUAAUAUGAAAAAUAGACCAAAAUGUUAAUUUAUGCAUUCUUAAUUCAGAAUAAACAUUACAAGUCAAAUUGCAACAUUUUCUCUAUUGAUGUCUCAAAUUAAAAUGGAAUGACUCAUUCACUCAAUAAUAGUUCAUUGAGAACCUAUAUGCCAGGCACUGUUACCGGCACUAGAAGUAUACAGCAGGGAAUAAAACAGUUCCUGUCCUCCUGGGUCAUUUGUUCCAGGAAGACAAACAGUAAACACAUAGUGAUGAAUUGCGUGGUGUGACAGAAUCUAACAAGUGAUGUGGGGAACACAGGGAGAUGCAGAGAAGGUGGGAAGAGUAUUUUAUGUAGGGUGGUCUCAGGUAGAGCAUUGAGGGAGGAAGGCUUGCAGACACAUGGGGGAGAGCAGCUUGGUCCACUGGCACAGAGUAGAAAAGCCCAAGGCAGGCACAGGCUCAGCAGCCUUGAGAACACAAAGGGAGUGGAUGCAGGCAAGAGCCAAAAAAUGACAUCAGGGAGGCAGCCGGGCCCUGAUCCUGCAGGACCCUUACAUCAUCGUAAGGACUGUGGGGUUUUCUCUAAGAGGGAAAGCCAAUGGAGGGUUUAGCACACUCAUCCGUGAUCUGACUUCACCUUUGGAAGGAAUCAUUUGGCUGCUGUGUUGGAAAUAGACUUUAGGGACCAAGGCAGGAGGGAGAGACAAGCUAGAGGAUUGUUGUAAUAAUCCCAGCAGGAGAUGAUGGUAGCUCGGACCAGGAUGAUGGUUGUGGAGGUAAUAAAAUGGUAUCAAAUUGUAAACAUGUGUUAAAGGUAAAGCCACAGGAUUUUUAGGUGAAUUCAAUGUGUGUGAGAAGAGGAGAUGUGGGGUGUUAAGCAAUUUGAAGAAUAUCAAUACUAGUUUCUAAG
rnacentral:lncRNA from 1 species